CGAUCUGCUGGGGGCAGAUGAAAUGGAUAUGUGUAUCGAUACCGCCUGCCGUUACGAUCAUUCCCUCACCGGCCAGCGCCUCUGUGGAAGCUCCCACCGUCAUGCCGGGCGUCACUCCAUCCAUGAUGGCCGGAUUGCCCGCCUUCCCGAUUCCUUUGAUUUUUCCGUCUUUAAUUCCAAUAUCCGCUUUUACAAUACCGGUAUAAUCCAGAAUCAGUGCAUUGGUGAUAACCAGAUCCAGAUCGCCGUCACUGUUACAGGUUUUCACUGACUGCCCCAUGCCGUCCCG
rnacentral:sRNA from 1 species